rnacentral:misc_RNA from 1 species
AGACAUACAGAGACCUUUCAGUUAGCAUCAACGAAUUUGCUCCAUGGGCAGGACCUUGGGUUGGGGAAUCUGGUGGUGCUUUUAACAGUGGAGGUACUUAGACCAACUGGGUAUGACUUCAACAUUCAACCAUAAAGUUUUCUGUAGGCAAGCCCUUAUUGGUGGAAAUUAUGGCCUCCUUAAUACCACAUCAUUCAUACCAAAUCCUGAUUAUUAUGGUGCACUUUUAUGGCAUCGUUUGAUGGGGAAGGAAGUGCUGGUUACCACUCACGAUACUAAUCCUUAUUUGCGAGCAUAUUCCCACUGUUCCAGGAAUAAGCCUGGAAUUUCUCUACUUCUAAUAAACAUGUCAAACCAAACGACCUUCAGUCUUACCGUUGAGAAUGAUGAUAAUCUCUAUCCAAGCAGUCGCAAGCUCAAGAAUUAUAUUUAUGGAGGAACAGAGAAAAGAGAAGAGUAUCACUUGACUCCUAAAGAUGGGAAUAUUCAGAGUGAUGUGGUGCUACUCAAUGGAACUCCAUUGAAGCUUACAAGCUCCUUAGACAUUCCUGAAAUGAAGCCUAUUUAUGUUGAUUCUUCAUCUCCGAUCACCAUUGCUCCUGAUUCCUUUGUUUAUG